rnacentral:rRNA from 1 species
CCUACGGGAGGCAGCAGUGGGGAAUAUUGGACAAUGGGGGGAACCCUGAUCCAGCCAUGCCGCGUGUGUGAAGAAGGCUCUCGGGUUGUAAAGCACUUUCAGUGAGGAAGAACGCCUGGUGGUUAAUACCCAUCAGGAAAGACAUCACUCACAGAAGAAGCACCGGCUAACUCCGUGCCAGCAGCCGCGGUAAUACGGAGGUUGCGAGCGUUAAUCGGAAUUACUGGGCGUAAAGCGCGCGUAGGUGGCUUGAUAAGCCGGUUGUGAAAGCCCCGGGCUCAACCUGGGAACGGCAUCCGGAACUGUCAAGCUAGAGUGCAGGAGAGGAAGGUAGAAUUCCCGGUGUAGCGGUGAAAUGCGUAGAGAUCGGGAGGAAUACCAGUGGCGAAGGCGGCCUUCUGGACUGACACUGACACUGAGGUGCGAAAGCGUGGGUAGCAAACAGGAUUAGAUACCCCUGUAGUC